rnacentral:lncRNA from 1 species
GAAAGGGCUGUGUACGCUGUGAACGGGGGGCUCACUAGCUUGCCGCUGGUCGCGUGCGGUCAUGCAUCGCAUUCCGCCUCAGUUCCUGGUCUUACCCCUACCCUCCUCCCGCACACUCCUCUGCCCCCUCCUCCCACAGGAGCUGAAGAAGCGCUCUGACGCGGACAAGUCGGACAAGACCGUGAAGGACCUGGUGCUGCUGCUGUUCGAGACCGCGCUGCUGUCGUCGGGCUUCUCGCUGGACGAGCCCAACACCUUCGCCAGCCGCAUCCACCGCAUGAUCAAGCUGGGCCUGUCCAUUGACGAGGAGGUGGAGGAGGGCCUGGGCGCCGCCGACGACGACCUGCCGCCGCUGGAGGAGGACGCCGCCGCGGGCGAGGGCAGCCGCAUGGAGGAGGUCGACUAAGCGGCUAGCAAGGACUGGCAGGCAUUAGCGGCGGGUGGAUAGGGAGGUGGGAUGAGGGCUCUGCCCUGGUGUGCCCCCGGUCUGGGGGAUGGAGGGGGGCAUGAACCGAGAGCUCGACUGCUCGUUAGCUUAGCAGCAGUGAAGCGGUGCGGCUUAGAUGUGAACAUACGCCGGGUGACGGUGUGCGUGGGGAGUGUGUGGGCGGCGUCAUUAUGCCACCAUCGCAUAUACUGGUUUUGGGGUCCCGCACUGCAACGCAGCAGCAAAGGAGUUUGAAGGUUAGGGGUAGACACGCUCACAUCAGUGGUACAUAUAUUCAUGUCUUGAGGAAGAAACACCAACAACAUCAGACUCUUGAACAAGCACGAGUACACAAAUGUGUCAUCUUAAUGUGUGUGGUGUGGUACUGAGAGAGCAGGUUGUAUGCCGUGCGAAGCAGGGGUGCACCGUUAGCGCCUGGACUGAAAUUGCAGAGGGCUGGUGGUGUGGAGGUGGAGUGAUGGAGGUUUGGGCACGCAGGGCCCGCACACCCGCAGCCGUCCGUUGAGCGGUCGAGGGGCAGUGUGGGGCUUGUGGAGUGCAGUUGCACACGGAGCGAAUUGUAAUGCUGGAGUGCAUGCGUCCAUGGUCUGCCAAGUCCCAGCAAUAACAGACUGUCUCACUUCUCCUCAGCGGCAAAUCAAAGCUGUUGCCUGGAUUCUAGGGAAGAUAACUGCACAUGUGUAGGAGAGGCAUACCACGUUGCGGCGGGGUCUCAUCAGCAGAAUAGGAACUGGGGGGCAGCCAAUGAGGCCCCAGUCAUUGCUGCGAGGGCCGCUCCUCCCACUGCCGGCCAGGUGAGCCCCAACUCGGUGGCAAACACCCCUCUCGCCUGCAGCGGUGGCGUUCAAGUGCCGGCCAGUCGGGAUGCGGGCCUGCAGGGCCGCAUACGGCUGCCGAUGCAGCAGGACACUUUUGGCACGUAGGCGGGCCGCACAGCAGCUGGCUCUGUCGGCCAGUCGGCCCGACUGCGCCGCCAGCACCGCAAAACUCAAGCCGCAAGGUCUCAGCAGCAUGGCAGAUUGGCAGGGACUGGUGUGCAGAUGUGGUACCUUCGGCAUGCAGUGCGGCUGGACAGUGAUUGCAUGGCAGCCGGAGACCCGAUUGAACCCCCUCCUGCCAAACACGUUCGGGCAGUGGCACUGGGGCUCGUGGCGACCGCCUCUCACUCCAGUCUCCACUUUCCAGUUGUUUCGUGUCGGCGGACUGUAUGGGUCCCGUGGCACCCGUCCCUGCGGCUAUCGCUCAGCGGGCCUUCCGUCAUUCCACCUACCUCUCUGGUGGAGAAGGCAUGAGCCGUAUGUGUACCCCGUAGUGGGAUGGGUGACUCAAAGUAAGUUCUCUUGUAUUGACCAGGCCUCGGGCCUUCUCCCCUGCUGUGUUGGGCGGUGAGCUAGGGGUGAGCGUGCGGCACCCCUGCGUCUGUCCUGCACUCGGCCUGCGGUUCUUGGUGGUCAGGGGCGCAGGCCUGGCAGCGGGCGGACGAGCUGCAGCACGACUCCCACUUGGGCAGGCAGGCACACACGCACGCACGGACACACACACACACACACACACACACACACACACUCGCACGGACACACACACACACACACACACAAACGCACACACACGCACACACACACCCCCGCGGGCAGCGGGGGUUUUCCCCCGCCAGCCCGUGGUGCUGACACCCCGUUUGCAUUUGCCGUCAUGCAUGCGCCCAUGCCGUCCCCCGCCUGUUUACUUGCUCGUGGUCGCCCGCCCUCCGUCUCUUUCCCAAAUCGCGCAACCCCUAGUAUAGUUAAUUGGGCUGGGACUGGGCUGCGUGUUUGCUCUUGCUCGUCGCGCGCCGCCGCGCUAACAUGUUCCUUCGCUCUUGUUCGUGACACUCCCCUGCUGCCGCCCUGUGCUCUGUUGUUUUCUUAUUCGCUCGUAGGUGAGAAUUUCAUCGAGGAUUGGGCGGGAGCUUGGACUUAGCGGCCAGGAGUAGCGACGCGGAGCUAGGAAUCGUAGGAGUGCCUGGGCCUCACGGUACCGUGAGCACAUGAAUGGGUUUGCACCCUUGAGAGCGUGUGGACACUAAUCCCCCCUCGAGGUUAGAGUAGCGGGGGUUGCGCGAUUUCCGGUUGGUAAGACCGGCGGCUCACCGCAGCAGGUAUGCGAGGUAACUUCAGGUAACAUCCGUAAACCGUCGCUUUGCUGCAUCGCAUACACUGUCUUGCGCAACGUUUUCCUUGUGCUCUUUAACACACACACACACUCGCACGGACACACUCGCACACACACACACACACACACACACACACNNNNNNNNNNNNNNNNNNNNNNNNNNNNNNNNNNNNNNNNNNNNNNNNNNNNNNNNNNNNNNNNNNNNNNNNNNNNNNNNNNNNNNNNNNNNNNNNNNNNCACACACACGCCCUAACUCACCUCCCCCCCACACACACGGCACCACCGACCAGCACCAGGGGACUUCUCUGGACGGCCGCUCCCCCAAGUCCCCCGCCCCGUGCUGCCACCAUCACGUGGUGCCACUCCCGGACUCUUUGUGUUUCCCGUCAGCUCGCCUGCACGGCUGUACGGCCCCGUGCGGCUGUUCCUGCCCCCAGCCCCCAUCCCACGCACCACCCACCCAUGCCAAACCCUCGCCCCGCGUGCCUGCUUGCUGCCUGCUGCCUGCCUCCGCACCUCCACCGCCACCCCCACUGCUGCU